AGCUGUUCACAGCCGUCAAAACGAAACAGCCACGGGUGCCAGCUGGACAUUGGGGUUAUAUGAUACGUAGUAAUUAUUAGAACGUCCGUAGUCGAUUUAUUCUUUUGUUUCUAAACAAGCAAAUGCUCACACGACAUAUCACAUUCAUGCAACAAUUUCACCCACCCAUACUGUUGUAAACUACGCAGACGAAGAAUGGCCAAGUCCAUUGAAGAGGUUGAGGAUUUAUUCAGCACAAGUCAUACUAACGAACCAGUCAAAGAAGAUGCAUCGCAGCCAGCAAAUCCUACAGUAUCGUACGACGAUAUCGCAACCAAGUUACUUAACGAAAGACUAUUACUCACCGCAUUGGAGAUGCACGCUGAAUUAUGCGAAGCAGGAAGUGAACUGCCUAUCCUUAGGGAUUAUUUUUCAAAUCCAGGGAACUUUGAGACUCAAAACAUCAAGCCGGAGCCUUACAUUGCUUUGCCUAGGUCACUCAGUCAAGCUACCCUAGACUCACUCGAUAUGACAAGAUAUUCGGAGGACGGUGGCGGAAUAGAUGAACGUGUCGCUAUACUGGAAUUUGAGCUCAGAAAAGCAAGGGAAAAUAUUUCGGCACUUAGGGCCAACCUUACCGUCGCCACAGAGUCUGAAGCAAUGACGCCAGAUACAGGGCUUGACAAACAAAUAGUGAUUGAUUUCCCAAUCAAACCUCACGAACAGCGAGCGCUUAAUUAUCUUGUCAACGAGUACCUCCUAGCUCACUCCUAUAAGCUGACGUCUAUUACAUUCAGUGAUGAGAAUGAAAACCAAGAUUUCGAGGACUGGGAUGAUGUUGGGUUGAAUAUUCCAAAACCUGCACAGCUCUUGCAGAUAUACAGGGAAUUCAUGAGGGCUAGCGGCCACGACAAACCACACUCAGCAAAUGUCAGUGUACAAACAGAAUUUGUUCAAGAUUUGAAUUCGGAAACAGUUGACAAAGAUGAAGAGUUGAAAGAAAUGACUUUUGAAAUACAGCAAUUGAAAGAACAAAGAGCUGUUUUAGAGCAAGAAAAAUCAGAGCUAGAAGGACUUUUAGUUUCGAGUGAAACUGAUUUAAUACUUGGCGAGACAAAGGAUAGCACAGGGACGAUACAAACGAUAAACUCCAACUCAUCAACCCCUGAAAAGUUUGAGAUUCUUGAUUCGAUGCUCCAGGAUAUUUCUAACAUGACUCAAGAAUCUUGUGGAGAUGAUACAACCUCAGUUGUGACUAGCCUGAAUGAAACCGAUCCGGGAGAUCGAGAAUGGACAACGCUACAAUUGCCUAGACCUGAUGUAACGAAACAGCCACGACUGGAUUCUUGUGACUCUUCUUUCAGAAUCUUACCAGCCAAUUUUGAGAGAGAAGUAGUAACUCAUUGCGUGGUGAACACGUCCAACCCUGCAACAGCAUUCAUAGAAGAUCCACUGAGGAAUAGCGUGACUCAGAAAAGUAUUAUUCACAUAUUGACGUACUCUUUGCCCAGAAUAAUACCAAACGUUAUACUUAAUAAAAGAGAAGAGACAAUACCUCUAAUUCUUAGCGCAGUACAACUGCACACGAACAGUCGCGAGAGGGAAAAGUUACUGCAGUUACUUUUUAACCUGAAAAAGAGGCCGCAGGAGGAGGAGAGAUUGAAGAUAUUAGCUGGCUUAGUGGCAAUGGCGAAAUGUUCGAAGACUUCCAUAGAAACUGGUGAAGUUUUGGGCCAGUGUUGGGAACAGAGUCAGCACAAGCAUCUGGAACGAAGACUGCUGGCUGCAGAAUGCUGCUCAGCCUUGGCUCCACAUAUUUCAGGCACAACAAGAAAUUCUUUAAUGCUUUCUAUGCUGCAGCAAAUGCUUCUAGAAGAUACGGAGCCCGUGGUCAGAGCUACUGUUGUCAAGACUCUGGCGCUAUUAGUAGCAUUAAUGGAUGAUCCGGACAAAUAUUUCCAGUGUGAAGAACUGACUCUUACUGCUCUGGAUGAUUCCUCAUCUAUAGUGGUUGAAGCUGCAGCUAAAAUUCUUGUACCAGUGAUAGCGCAAUGGGCGCUUACACUUGGAAGAUUUCAGUCCCAUCUGCUGCCACGAAUACUUAGCAAAUUAAGGAGCCAGCUAAAGCCCUCACACCACCAAAAUAUCCAGAACAAAAUUCAUUCUGACGGAGAUAGAGCUGUUGCAUCUAUCAAUGUGCUGCAGUACCUCCUACCGCAUACCGUUGUAUGCGUUGCUAACACUGAGAAUGUCAAAGCAUUUGUUCAAGAAUCAAAACCUUCGGACUUACCAGACGAGUUUUCCGCCCUUUGCCAGCUGUCCCUGUUAAAUCCGAGAGUAUUUUAUGAAGGCGAUAUGGACAUUACAGCUGUGCUUCACGCGUUCUUCGCAAAUACAUGGGAAAAUGACACUUGGCCAGAAUUAGAGUGGCUAUCUAAUAAAUUAUUACCAGAUGUAAUUGACGUAGUGAAAUCGAUCAACGUUACCCAAGAAGCUGUUUUGAAUGCUUUCAUCACAUAUAUACAUUCUCUCUGCUGUGCCUUUGGCAGACACAUAACUGUAUCAAAGAUUCAGCCCAUUUUUGCUGCCAAAUUGUCGGAACUUGAGCAACAACUCAUAAUGUUGACACCCGACAGAGGAGCUCUGAGCUUAAUGUUGAUUCCGGCGUACUUGACGAUUCUAUCGACCCUUGAUGUGACUGAAGUAACGAAAGCAUUGAAUCAAUUUAUUGUUGCCGUGGCUAUAAGCGGCGUCAGCAGUGCAAGUCUACAAAUGGCUGUUAUCAGACUCUGUAAUGAAACUCGACUGCAGGAACACGUUCUUAACGCUCUCUGGGAUGGAGUGGUUCAUCAAAGAUCGACAGUCCGAUGUGCGACUGCAGUUUUAUUCAGUUCUGUAAUAUCUCAUAUUACGGACCAUUUAGCCAACACAAGAGUAGCACCAGCCAUAGUGACACUGACCAAUGACACUGAUUUAACAGUCAAAGCUGCCGCUAUCCCAGCACUAGCUCAUCUUGUCACUGAGUGUGGAGCCAAAGAGGCAAGGGAUAAAGCGCGGUUGACACUGGAAAUGAUAGCUCGAGAACCACAGGGCAUCCCGUCAUCAUUGGCAGUUUCUUUGGUCACUGCUCUCUCAAGUAUCGCGCCAAACUGUCCCCAAAAUUACACAGAAGAUGUGAUAGCUACCCAGUUAGCGGGCAUAACGGCCUCCGCUCUUCAGCAGGGGCGAAAAAUCGAGCUCACAAAUUCCCUCGUCGAAGCCUACUCGGUCCUUGUCUACUGUCCACUCAGUAAUCAAUGCAUUACCGGUGUUCUUUUGCCUGGGCUUAGGUACCUUGAAGUGCUCGUCAACCAAACCCAACCUCAGCACAUAGAAUUAGUGAAUUCAUUACUCAAGGAGGCCACGUCCAGGCUGGAUUCCGAGAAGCCAUUGGAACGAUCGGCAUCAUCAAGUUCCGGGCUGUCUCUUGCGAUAGCGAACGUGAACGUUGGUCAGGGAGUGGAGGACAUGUGUCAGAGGAUGAGUAAGAUAUUUCAACAGAAGUCAAACACGCCUAGUAUGGCAAAUAUAUUUCGUAAAAAGUAAACGGUUAAUCAGUGAACUGUAAUUAUUUUUAAAAGAAUGUUAGGUCACUUGAGGCACAUCAGUUCGACAUUGUUUCAGAAGAUUGAGUUUUAUAUCCAAAAUAGAAGCCAGAUCGAAUUGUUUUUGCGAAAAGAUAUUCGUAUCGUAUCAACAAAGUGUGCUAUGAUUUUAGCAGAGUGAAAAUUGAUCACCAAAAAACGUGUUUAGCUUAUGAACAAAUAGAGGUAGCAGAUGUACUGAUCAGUGCGCUGAUACCCUUUAUUCGUAUUUUCUAGACCUUACUCUAUCACUCAGUAUGUUCGUUGCCCGAGUUUGCCUACAAGCUGAAUACGUUACUUGUCGUUUAGUUUCCACUAGUCUUCAAUAAAAAUACUUUUACUUUAUACGAUACAAACUAUAUCUAUCUGUUGAGUAAAUAUUAUCUGUGUAUGUGAGUAUAUCCAUCUGCGCCUGUGCAAGGAGAGUUUGAUCGGGCUCAUAUCGGGCUCAUGUUUUUGAGGUAUCAUAUUAUGCUUUCUCCUAAAACCCUGUCGGACUGAUGUACAUCCGUAACGUCAUUCCUUCCUGCGUCACUUAUAUUUUAUUGUAUAUAAUUAAUAAUAAUAGGAAUUAAAUUCAAUAACAAGAAUAGAUUGAAACAAAAAAAAAAAUUGAGUCUGAGAGGAUAGAAUGAAGAGGAUAGAAGCAGAGCUCAUUUCGUAUUUUCUUUUUUGUGUAAAUGAAGAACGGGAAUUGUGGAUAAAAGUUUAUUCACACAUAGCAUUAUAUCACAUAUACAUUAGGGUGGUUCAGGAAAAAAAUUUUGUUUUCGCUUUCACCCCCUGAAAUGUAGGUGUUUGAUAGAAAAAAAGGUUGCUGAUUCGAUUUUUAUUUCUAUUCAUUUAACAUGGAAACGUGUCAUUUUUUAUUAAGACUUAAAAUACUCGGAACUAUUCAAAUUUUUCAAAUUCAUGCAUAGAUCUUUCGAGCUGGUUCUUCACGUUUUUCAAAUCUCUAUAAGAAAGCAUAGUUACAAUUAGAAAAGACAUUACAGUCAUCUGAAAACUACUCAUUUAUACCGAAACGAAAAAAUCGGUAGUGUUCUGAUGAUGAUAAUUAUGGAUUGUUAUAUAGAGUUGGGAAGCUUGAAGAAUCAGCUUCAAGGAUCUAUACAUGGAUUUGAAAAAUACAGAAUAGUUUACGAGUAUUUUAACUUUGAACGAAAAGUGAAAUCUUCCUAUGUUAAAUAAAUGUGAAAUCAAAGUCACAAGAGUGACUUCUUAGACUUGAGCUUGAGAGGUUGUUUAAAAAAAAAUGUGUUGGAAAAAAAAAAUUCUCGAACCAUCCUAUUAUACAUUAUACAUAUUUGUAUGUUAUUUCGUUAUCAUUUAGUAUACAUAUACAGGUAUGACAGUUUUCUGACCGCACAAAGCAUUGAAGAAACGUAUCAGUCCAGUCAUUGUGUCCGAAAAGAGGCAAAGAAAGAAAAAUAAAUCGAAAAGUUUAAUUUUUAAACAUUGUGUGGGCGUGGGGGCUUCGAAAACUCAACCUCAAAUUAUGGACCAAGAUUCUCUAUAAGCCUUCUCCGCCAUCUUGAAAAGGGUAAUUUUUUUCGAUAACUCGGCUCUUCGACGUGAUACAAAAAUUUCGAUCAUAUACUUUGUUUUAGCUUUUUUUACGCUCUGCAAUUUGAGUUUCAUAAUUUUUUCACUUAUUAUUCAUAGUUGUUGAAACAUCGAACGAAACAGAGAAUAAUUAAGAGAUUGAAACUCGGUUUUUCCAUUUUUACAGCAAUCCUCUAUAGAAUUGCUCUAAUAAAGUUCUCGACAACUUUUGUACAGAACAUUUAUUUUUAUAAUGCAGUUUUUGAUUUAUAGCACAGCAAACCUUUCCAACCAUGGUUAUUGCUGAAUAUACACAUAGUUAACGAUUGAUGAAACUGUAAAAUUAGCCAAAAUCACAUUUGUACAAUAUAGAUUUUAUUCCGAACUUUUCUUCCUGUAAAAUUGAUAUCUUAAGAGAUAUACCUACAGCGUAAACAUUGCGUCGCGUGAGUGAUCAGUGGAAAUGUUAAUCGUAACACACUCGUAGAAUUUCAUAAAAUGGCAAAAAGUUUUCAGAACAAUGACAAUACUGUGUAGUGAAUCUGUGAAAAUUGUAAAUAGUGUCAAAAACUAUUAAUAAUUUAUAAAUCUUUCUUACCUGCAUAGGUAGAACGUCUUAUACAUCAUGAAAAAUUUUAAAUGCAGUGUGAUGCAAUUGUUUGUACAUCAUGUUAUUUUAUAAAAAUGAUGAUGACGAUAGCAAUAACAACAACGAGAGUGACAAUAAUAUCAAUAAUCAUGAGAAGUCAAAGACGGAGAAGAGAAUAACAGACUUCAAUGAAUGCAAAUUAAUUAAUUGAGCUGCAAAUUUCGAUCACAGUACUACCUCGUUAUAAGAGUGUCAGGGCGGUUAGGGGAAUAGGAUUCUAAGAAAUUCGGCGCCUGGACUCGAGAAUCGCACACACGUCGAUGAUCGUCACCACUCCUCGUUAUGAGAUAAUCACAGUUAUGUAUACGAAUGCAAUGCCUUCGUGCAUGAUUCGACGCAAUCGCUCUUUCGCUUAUAAUGAGGAGUCCUCGGUAAAGUUAGGAGACCUCAGGUAGAAGGAUAGAGUGGGGAAAGUUCUAAAACCCGCUCAAGCGGAACGCAUGGGAAAUCUAUACUACAUGUAAUAUAUAAAAUUCUUUGUAUGUAUGUUUGUACGGAUUUAACUUAAGAUCUAUUUGACGGGUUUUGAUGAAACUUUUUUUAAAAUGUUCUUCAUAAUUCCAGAAGUGCUAUAAGCUAUGUUAUAUUUAACUUUUUAAAUAAAAUUUUGAGUUCAUAAUCAAAGUUUUAUGCGUUCUGUACUACUUGAGCUAUUGCUGAGACCUACCGUUGCUCCAUCACUCCGAUCGCCCGUAGUGGGGGUUAAGAUUAUUGGCCGGGGGAGUAUGAUUAGAAGUAGGAGACGCAGAGCUAGAUCUGUAAUGUUGCCGAUCUUGCGGGAAAACUUGCGCGACGGGCGUCCUGUGCAGAUCUCUGGAAGCGUCCAUAAAUUACGUCACCAGUUUUUUGGGGAGAAGGGUGACUUGGUGAAGGAGAAGGGUAUAGAAAUUAUAACGUCCAUGCAAAAGGCCAAAUUCACAAAUAAAAAUUUUCGGUCGGUAACAAUGAAUACUGCGCGUGAUGUUUUCUUCCUGGUAACAAGGGGAGUCUAGAUUUAUUCGCGGGGUGGCGGAAAUCUGUGUUAUGUCAUUUGGAGGGGGGGGGGGGGGGGGGGGUUCUUUCAAUCUGACAGAUGAUGACAAAACCGUCCCUCCUCCAGGGGGUCAAAAAUAUUCAAAAUUUGAUUACGUAGUUUAUGGACGUUCCCUCUUCUGUGAAAGCAAUAAUUUUUCUUCAUGAGAAUCUUCCACGAGAUCCAAUUUUAACGAUUAAAGAAAAAACUAUCACCCGGGAUUCGCUACGCCGGGUAUUUCUGCUGAGUUCUCUUAUAACGAGGUAGUGCUGUAAUUAAAUUUCAACAAGAAUAAGUUUCUAGCAUAUCAUUCUUCUGGGCGAAUUUUAUGGUUGUUCAUGGGAUAUUUUCAUAAAUCUUAUUGUAAAAUUAUGAAUCAGCUCCCCAAAUAUUUGAGUGCCAAAGUAAUCCGCCCUGCUUCCCUAUCUGCUGAUGUGAUCGUACUUAAAGAGGCGAUGGGUCUAUACCCUCUUUGCUAUGGGAAGUUGUAACUCCUGCAGGUAAAUAAAUCUAUUAUUAUUGUUGUUGUUAUUAAUAUUAUUAUAAUUAUUUUUAUGAUACACCAUGAUAUAAAAAUAGUUGUAUCAUGCUGUAUUGAUAAUUUUUGAUGAGGUAUAAGACGUUCUACCCAUGCAGAUAAGAAAGAUUAUUACUAGUAAGAAAUCAUUACUAAUUAUUUACACUAUUUAUAAUUUUUAUAGAUCUACUACACAGUAUUGUCAUUUUUCUGAAAACUUUUUACCGUUUUAUAAAAUUGUCUCCAUGUCUCUGUUUACAAUAUUGGAUGGAUGAAUCAGAUCUUAUCGAAACAUUAUACGGUUUUUGUGUCCGGCCUCUAUAAUGACUUUAUCGUACUAUAGAGUUCUUAUAGGUGCUUGUAGAGACCGGACACAAAAUCCAUAGUAUUUCGAUAAGAUCUGAUUCAUCUAUCCGACAUUUUAAGCAGAUACAUACGAGCAACAUUUUCACUGAUCAUUCACGCGACACAAUGUUUACAGCGCCAUAGCUUUUAAAGUAUCGAUUUCAGAGAAAAAAGUUCGUCAUCAAGUUUAUUGAAAAUAUCAUAUUCUAUAAAAAUUUCCACAUGAAAAUUGUAAAGAAUUUUAUUACCUACAAGAAAGAUCGUUACUAUUUUUGUCGUACAGUGCAUGGUUCACGAGAGAAAUCUAGGUAGAACAUUUCAGGUAAGCCUUUCCAAGCCCCUCCUACCCAGUAUAUAAAAAUUAGACUUCUUGGAUCAUUUUCCCUUUCAAAUGCAUAUAGUGACUGAACGAUUUAUACAAUGUAACUGGACACCAUUUCACGUCGCAGCAUCGCGUGUGCGACUAAUGUACAACGUCCAUGCUGUUAGGAAUUAUGUACAUACGUAUACAGUGUGCCUUCUUGAAUUUCUAGUUUUUGAAACUUGUAUGUAUAUUCAAUAGAAAAGUGAGAAAGUACGACAGAGAGAACCUUAUGCAUCAGUCUUUUAUCUAUGGUCUGUUGAAUCUCACGUACAAUGUAAUAUUUGCGUUAUCGGAGUUCGGAAUAUCAAAUAUAUAUUGUAAAAAUUUACGCGGCUAGUUGUGAUUAUUAUUGAUUAUGUAUAUAUAUUAUUAUCAACCACGAUUUCCUGUGUAGAAAUGUAACGUAUUGAGAGAUGUGAUGGGAUGAUCAUCAAAGUAGGCAAUAAAGUUAAAUUUCCUUCAUAAAGAGAAUAGAGGUCGCUUUGAUUAAGUCAAAGCACAACGUGAAAGGUUUUUUUACGGAAGUAAAGUCGACCGAAUGCUCGUUUUGUCUGAGCGAGCCGGUGUCGAUCGUCUCUACCUAUAAAUUAUUAACCUGAACAUAUUGUCUAAUUACAGUCUGAACAUUAAGUAACUAAUAAACUUAUAAAAUUUCAAGUAAAUGGAAUACGUAGAUCUGGAAAAUUCCAGUUAGAUCUGAAAAUAAUUUUGAGAAGAGCAACAGAUGAAAGUAUUUUUGAAGGUGACCUAAAUGUAUGUGUAAGUGUAUAUAUUUGUAUUAAAAAACGUCAAAUUUAUCGAGAGGAUACUUAUGAUGCUGUGGGUUUCAGGCCAAAUUUAUUGCAAAGAAGUUUUUUUUACACAAAUCCAAUUUAUAAUGUAAAUUUUAUUAGCAAGAUAUAUUGUUUCGAAAACUACAAUAAAUAACCAACAUUAUACUUAUACUAUUAUUGUUACUUCAUUAUCAAUAUUAUUAACAUCAUUACGAAAAUAUCAGUGUUUGCACAUGGAUUUCUGGCUAUGAAAAUAUGAAAGUAUUGCAUUUAAUAUUAUUUUUACAUAUUCAUUAAAUUUAAAAAAAUUAGAAUCAUUUUCUUUUUAUCUACGUGACUAAUCGUACGUGAUGAUGUAGUAUUAGAGAAUCUUAGAAUUACAUAAUAUAUACAUGACUAAUACGAUUAUGGGCGCGAAGACGAACCAAAACUAGAGAAAUCGAAUCAAAAUUAAAUAAAAUAUAUCUCCACAGACUUGAAUAUGUAUAAACAAUUCAAUAUUACGAAGCUCACUUGUGGCAUCGCCCGGUAUUUUCAUAAUUUAGUAUAGUCUAGUGCUUAAAUUUACGUCGAAAUGGAUAUACAUCGAAAUAAAUAUAAGUAUUAACAAGUAUUGUUUAAAGGUUACUUCUGCUAUGCAAAUGCAAUCAGCACUGCUAAUCAGCGAUUGCUUCUGUUGUUCAUAUUCAAAUUUUUAUCAAAUAUUUCUACGUGUUAAUACUGCAAUGCCUAGAAGAUAAUAUAGUUAUCGAUAAAUAAGUUUCUAUCAUUUGGGUGAACAAUGUUUUUUACAAAGUGCAAUUGAUUCAGAUGAAAGUUAUAUUUAUCGUAAUCAUGUAAUAAGGGAAAUUAACGGAA
rnacentral:misc_RNA from 1 species